AGGCGCAUGGUAUAGUUAGUUAUCACUUUUGCUUUGCAUCCAUGAUAAAUUGGGGCCUGUGCGACAGGUGUUGGGUUCAAUUCCCAUGUGUCCA